GUGCAGCAGUCGCGAAUUUUUCUCAAUGGGGGCAACCCUGAAGGAGCGACGCCGCGUGGAGGAUGAAGGCUUUCGGGUUGUAAACUCCUGUCAUUUGAGAACAAGCGGCCGAAAUUAACUACUUCGGCCUUGAUAGUAUCAGAAGAGGAAGGGACGGCUAACUCUGUGCCAGCAGCCGCGGUAAUACAGAGGUCCCGAGCGUUGUUCGGAUUCAUUGGGCGUAAAGGGUGCGUAGGUGGCGCCGUAAGUGGGGUGUGAAAUCCCGGGGCUUAACCCGGGACUGCAUUCCAUACUGCGGUGCUUGAGGACUGGAGAGGAGACUGGAAUUUACGGUGUAGCAGUGAAAUGCGUAGAGAUCGUAAGGAAGACCAGUGGCGAAGGCGGGUCUCUGGACAGUUCCUGACACUGAGGCACGAAGGCCAGGGGAGCAAACGGGAUUAGAUACCCCGGUAGU
rnacentral:rRNA from 1 species